GUAGGUGGCAAGCGUUGUCCGGUAUUAUUGGGCGUAAAGCGCGCGCAGGCGGUUCUUUAAGUCUGAUGUGAAAGCCCACGGCUCAACCGUGGAGGGUCAUUGGAAACUGGAGAACUUGAGUACAGAAGAGGAAAGCGGAAUUCCACGUGUAGCGGUGAAAUGCGUAGAGAUGUGGAGGAACACCAGUGGCGAAGGCGGCUUUCUGGUCUGUAACUGACGCUAAGGCGCGAAAGCGUGGGGAGCAAACAGGGAUUAGAUACCCUGGUAGUCCACGCCGUAAACGAUGAGUGCUAAGUGUUAGGGGGUUUCCGCCCCCUUAGUGCUGCAGCUAACGCAUUAAGCACUCCGCCUGGGGAUACGGCCGCAAGGCUG
rnacentral:rRNA from 1 species